UACAGAGGGUGCGAGCGUUGUUCGGAAUUACUGGGCGUAAAGAGCGCGCAGGCGGUCGUUCAAGUCGCGUGUGAAAGCCCCCGGCUCAACUGGGGAGGGUCACGCGAUACUGAUCGACUCGAAGGCAGGAGAGGGUAGUGGAAUUCCCGGUGUAGUGGUGAAAUGCGUAGAUAUCGGGAGGAACACCAGUGGCGAAGGCGACUACCUGGCCUGUUCUUGACGCUGAGGCGCGAAAGCUAGGGGAGCAAACGGG
rnacentral:rRNA from 1 species